rnacentral:rRNA from 1 species
AUUGAACGCUGGCGGCAGGCCUAACACAUGCAAGUCGAACGAGUGGCGGACGGGUGAGUAAGGCCCGGGAAACUGCCUGAUGGAGGGGGAUAACUACUGGAAACGGUAGCUAAUACCGCAUACCAUCGGAUGUGGCCAGAUGGGAUUAGCUAGUAGGUGGGGUAAAGGCUCACCUAGGCGACGCUCCCUAGCUGGUCUGAGAGGAUGACCAGCCACCCUGCAACUGAGCCACGGUCCAGACUCCUACGGUAGGCAGCAGUGGGGUGUAUUGCACAAUUGGCGCAAUCCUGAUGCAGCCCUGCCGCGUGUAUGACGCAGGCCUUCCGGUUGUAAUGUACUUUCAGCUGGGUGUCGUUACCCGCAGAAUAAGCACCGGCUAACUCCGUGCCAGCCGCCGCGGUAAUAC